GUUUGCACUUCUACUUAGGUAUAGCUUUACAUUAAGGUGGCAAGAGUCACAGGAACGCCUUUUACGCAUGAUGUGAGGGUUAGUUGUGGAGAUUUAAGUGUAGCCGAUUUAGGCGGUGGCUUGGUUGGCAUACAUCAAUAUUUUUUAAUCUCAUGAAGCUCUUAUAGCCUCCAUACAUGUGUAUAGCUUUAUUUCAACGUGGCAAGGUUCACAGGAACGUCUUAAACGCAUGAUGUGUGCAUUAGUUGUGGAGAUUUAGGUGUAGCCAAUAAGGCUUUGGCUCGGGUGGCUUGGAUUAAUAUUUCUUAUCCCAUGCACCUGUAAUAGCCUUCAUACAUGUGUAUAGCCUUAUUUCAACGUGUCAGGGGUCACAUAAAGGUCGCUCAUGCAUGGUUUGUGCAUUAGUUGUGGAGAUUUAGGUGUAGCCAAUAAGGCUUUGGCUCAGGUGGCUUGGAUUAGUAUUUCUUAUCCCAUGAAGCUGUAAUAGCCUCCAUACAUGUGUAUAGCUUUAUUUCAACGUGGCAGGGGUCACAUAAAUGUCACUCAUGCAUGGUUUGUGCAUUAGUUGUGGAGAUUUAGGUGUAGCCAAGAAGGCUUUGGCUCGGGGAGCUGUACUCAUAUUUUUUAAAGAUGUUUCUUUCUUUAUUAUUAUUGUUAUUUGCUUUACGUCCUCAAUUUAUUUUUAGAUAACAGCAUCAUUGAUAUUUCUUUUCCUUUUAAGGGCCAUUUAAUUAGGUUACAAUUAUGUGUCUUAAAUAAUUACCGUAUGUUCUAGUCCUGUCUAGUAAUGUAGUUAUUUCUGUGUUUCACAGAUGGAGCUUGUUGCGGCAUACAUUUUCAAUCGCAGACUGUGCAGGGAAAGGAGAUAUCGGGACCCACUCAACCCACUACAUGUCAGUGAUGAACACCUGUUGCAGGUGUAUAGAUUUCCCCGUCAAGAAAUCAUCAGGCUCUGUGAUGAGUUUCGCCCCCACCUGGAAAGGAGAACCAGGAGGGCACAUGCACUCCCAACACACACCCAGGAGACACUGCGUAUCCUCUGGAGCCAUUCCUGAUGACCCCAGUUGCACGGCCGACAACACCUGGGGAGGAGCGCUACAACAAGUCAUCACAGGACAAGAUGCGUUGUCGAACGGACCUUUGGGAUCCUCAAGUCAAGGUGCAGGUGCCUACAUAAGUCAGGAGGAAGUUUGCAGUAUGACCCCAAGAAGACUAUGAAGAUUGCGACUUCUUGUAUGCUCCUGCACAACUACUGAGUGGAUCGCUGCAGAAGAAGUAACAGUUCAGCCUGUGAGAAACAACAGACUGAUUCCUGGUCAAGUUGUCAGGCAGGAAUUUAUUAGAAACUUCUUUUCCUGAGUAUAGAUUGCAUAUGGUGCACCGGUGGCCGAGUGGUCAUGUGUACGUGGUGAUCCAGAGGACUCUACUCCCACCGCAAGACGCUGAGAGUUUUCAACCAUUGACAAGUGGCGGAGGGUUACCAACAUGCUGCCCGGCAGAUCUUCAGUCAACCCUAACUUCAGCGUCUUUGAUCAAGAGGGGCACCACCUCCACACCACUCAUUCUUAUCACCUAGUUUGAUACCCUACUUGUCCAUCUCACUGUUCUCACAUGCCCCAUGUAUCUCAGCAUUCUGCACUCUUGGCUCCAUGUCAUCCUCUCCAACUUGUUGGUUCGUAUAGCAUAACCGGCCUCACAUACAUAGAAGUGUUCAAUAUACCUAGGCUAUAAUAUUAUAUUUAAGGACUCUUAUAUGAGGUAUCGCCCCAUACAGAGGUGUCGAAGUAAGUCUGUCUGAUGGUAGGCUGGCUGACUGCUGUCGGGACCCAAGCCAGCAUGCCCUGGGGGUUGUGUGCGGGAGGAGGAAAGAGGGAAAAGGACAAAUGGUGUGUGUGUCAUUAUCAGGGGUAACCACGGUGGAGUGCAAACACUCAGUAGUUGUAGUCAAGGCUUAAUUAAGUUGAUGAGUGGUGUUAGACUGAAUGAGCAGGUUUUUUACCACAUGUUAGUGGGAACACUUGAUAGGUUUUGUUUGUGUGUUGGUGCUACUUGUUUCUUGUGUUUACAUGUUAGUUUAUAAUUAGACUGAGUUCUAAGUGUUAUGAGCGACAAUUUAGUCUUGUAUGGCUGAAUCCUGUCCCUUGACCCUUAAUUCAUCAUCAGAAUCUUUAAACAAAUAUAUUUACCUUAAGUAAUAUUCUUAAAGUCACGCUGCCCAUAUUAUUUGGCAGAUGAUAACCCUGUAUGCGAUAACGGUGCCUUAUAAGACUUCGUAAAUAAACUACUAAUUUUACUCUCUGGUUUAAGUGAUCAACAAUUAAUUCUACUUUGAGGUAUAAUUAACCAACAUUAUUAAGGAGUGCCCAUGCCAGGCACGACAUUAAGAAUAUUUUUCUGUUGACCAGCAGACUUACUAUAGUCAAACCAUUUCAAAAUGUCUGUUGAGGCAGUGGCUUCUGCAGGUCCUUUCCUCCCUUCUGCUUUGCCACACAGUUCCAAUUACCUAUUUCCUCUGUUUCCUGUCCCCUCUUUCACAAACUGGGCACCUGUAAUGCACCCCUACUUGAUUUACAUUUCUCAGCCCUGAGCAUCUCUUUGUGGCACCACUUAACACUCCCUGUGCACAGGGCAGAGUUAGUAGCCAUUUCUCUUCCACACCAACUACCUUCCUGUAUAUAUGAUUUCUCAGUAAUUACUUAUUUGUUGUGCUGUAUUAGCUGUUACGUGCUACAUCAAGCUGUAAUAUCUACCCAAGCUGCGGGUUAAUCCAAUAAAAAAAAAAAGUGAAUGACUAA